GAUCGGAGCUAUAGCUAAGAGGCCAGCCCAAGGGUGACCUGCCAGACUUGAGUGCGUGAGCGCUGGCUGAGGCCACACCUGCUGGGCAUGUGAGGCGGCCCCUCCCCCUGCUGUGAGUGACACUGGCCUGCACUCUUCUAAUCUCAAGGCUCCAACGAGGCUAUUUAACGUGGUUCAGGCAUGAGCCACUGUGCCUGGCCAAAAUGUGGCUUUUAAAAUUUUAGGACUCCGUUGCAAAAUAGAAAUAUAAAUGACCAAAUCUGUGUUAAAGAGUC
rnacentral:lncRNA from 1 species